CCUACGGGUGGCAGCAGUGGGGAAUAUUGGACAAUGGGCGAAAGCCUGAUCCAGCCAUGCCGCGUGUGUGAAGAAGGCCUUCGGGUUGUAAAGCACUUUCAGUGGGGAAGAAAGCCUUGGGGCUAAUACCCUCGAGGAAGGACAUCACCCACAGAAGAAGCACCGGCUAACUCCGUGCCAGCAGCCGCGGUAAUACGGAGGGUGCGAGCGUUAAUCGGAAUUACUGGGCGUAAAGCGCGCGUAGGCGGUCUGAUAAGCCGGUUGUGAAAGCCCCGGGCUCAACCUGGGAACGGCAUCCGGAACUGUCAGGCUAGAGUGCAGGAGAGGAAGGUAGAAUUCCCGGUGUAGCGGUGAAAUGCGUAGAGAUCGGGAGGAAUACCAGUGGCGAAGGCGGCCUUCUGGACUGACACUGACGCUGAGGUGCGAAAGCGUGGGUAGCAAACAGGAUUAGCUACCCGGUAGUC
rnacentral:rRNA from 1 species